rnacentral:rRNA from 1 species
CCUGACGAGCACGCCGCGUGAGUGAAGAAGGUUUUCGGAUCGUAAAGCUCUGUUGUAAGAGAAGAACGUGUGUGAGAGUGGAAAGUUCACACAGUGACGGUAACUUACCAAAAAGGGACGGCUAACUACGUGCCAGCAGCCGCGGUAAAAACCUUCUU